GACGAACGCUGGCGGCGUGCUUAACACAUGCAAGUCGAACGGAAAGGCCCUGCUUGCAGGGUACUCGAGUGGCGACGGGUGAGUAACACGUGGGUGAUCUGCCCUGCACUUCGGGAUAAGCCUGGGAAACUGGGUCUAAUACCGGAUAGGAGCCAUUUUUAGUGUGAUGGUUGGAAAGUUUUUUCGGUGUAGGAUGAGCUCGCGGCCUAUCAGCUUGUUGGUGGGGUAAUGGCCUACCAAGGCGGCGACGGGUAGCCGGCCUGAGAGGGUGGACGGCCACAUUGGGACUGAGAUACGGCCCAGACUCCUACGGGAGGCAGCAGUGGGGAAUAUUGCACAAUGGGCGCAAGCCUGAUGCAGCGACGCCGCGUGGGGGAUGACGGCCUUCGGGUUGUAAACUCCUUUCGCUAGGGACGAAGCUUUUUGUGACGGUACCUAGAUAAGAAGCACCGGCUAACUACGUG
rnacentral:rRNA from 1 species